rnacentral:rRNA from 1 species
UGCACCCUACGGGGCACAGCAGUGGGGAAUAUUGGGCAAUGGGCGCAAGCCUGACCCAGCAACGCCGCGUGAAGGAAGAAGGCUUUCGGGUUGUAAACUUCUUUUGUCAGGGACGAAGCAAGUGACGGUACCUGACGAAUAAGCCACGGCUAACUACGUGCCAGCAGCCGCGGUAAUACGUAGGUGGCAAGCGUUAUCCGGACUUAUUGGGUGUAAAGGGCGUGUAGGCGGGAAUGCAAGUCAGAUGUGAAAACUAUGGGCUCAACACAUAGCCUGCAUUUGAAACUGUAUUUCUUUAGUGCUGG